GCCGGGGUGGUGAAACGGCAGACACGCGGGUCUCAAAAACCCGUGAGGGAAACCUCGUGCGGGUUCAACUCCCGCCCCCGGCACCA
rnacentral:tRNA from 1 species